GAUGAACGCUGGCGGCGUGCCUAAUACAUGCAAGUCGAGCGAACAGAUGAGGAGCUUGCUCCUCUGACGUUAGCGGCGGACGGGUGAGUAACACGUGGAUAACCUACCUAUAAGACUGGGAUAACUUCGGGAAACCGGAGCUAAUACCGGAUAAUAUAUUGAACCGCAUGGUUCAAUAGUGAAAGACGGUUUUGCUGUCACUUAUAGAUGGAUCCGCGCCGCAUUAGCUAGUUGGUAAGGUAACGGCUUACCAAGGCAACGAUGCGUAGCCGACCUGAGAGGGUGAUAGGCGACACUGGAACUGAGACACGGUCCAGACUCCGACGGGAGGCACCAGUAGGGAAUCUUCCGCAAUGGGCGAAAGCCUGACGGAGCAACGCCGCGUGAGGGAUGAAGGUCUUCGGAUCGUAAAACUCUGUUAUGAGGGAAGAACAUAUGUGUAAGUAACUGUGCACAUCUGGACGGUACCUAAUCAGAAAGCCACGGCUAACUACGUG
rnacentral:rRNA from 1 species